GGGAGGGGGAGCGUGCCUUUGUUUCCUCCUAAUGCGUCUGCUCCUUCUGUUUGCUUACAAAGAGGGGCAUGCCCAUCUGACAGCAUCAUCAAUAUGACCUUUCUCUAUGAGCAGGCAGAAGGAACAGAUGCAUCGGAAGGAAAUGGAGACCUUUUUUCUCCAUGUAAGCAUUGCUGCUCUGGAUACCAGCAGAUGCACUCACAGUUCUUGCUGUCUGACUCCCACUCUGUUAACAUGAGUCACAGGCACUGGAAAGGGAGCAAAGCAUCCUCCAUGGAGGAGGCUGCGGACCUCUGAAAUGACAACAGUGAUAAACCCAGCUGCUUUGACUUAGAUGGAGGCCAGAACUUCUACUCCUUGUAGUGCUAUGAUAAUAAUAAGUAGUGACCACAGCUUACAGAAGAGAAACCAGAGAAAGAUGUUUAAAUCAGUAAAGCAGACUGUGCUUAUUUAGAUUUCACACAAGUUUGCUGCAAUAUGAGGAACUGUUGCUUGAGAGCAUGCCCCAAAGCAGCUCAGAAAGGCUUUUUGCUUACUACAUUGGAUAAUAUAUUGAAAGCUAUAUAUAUUGUACAUAUUAUUAAAUAAUUCAGCCACAUUCAGCAUUUGGAAGAUGAAAUAACGAUGUCAUUUCUGUGGCCUUUUUUGCUCCUUAGGAAAUCUCUGUGCUUCCAUUAUACAUGCUGUCAGCAGGAACGAAAUGAAUGCCAUGCCGUAUGUCUGUUUAUACCACAUACUCUCAACACAUGGCAAAGAAUAUGCACAACCAAUCAAAAUGCUCUCAUACUAAAGUGAUCAUGAUCCUAAGUACCAUCAAACUGUCAACAUCAAUUCAUUCAGAAGCUUUCACUGUUUCUAUGUUUUCUCAGUUCAAGGAUUUGAGCAAUUGCUGUCAUUGUAAGAACAUUUCUACCCUAAAGCAUAGAUGGGCCAUGCAGCUAAUUGACAUACUUUAAGCUAACUGGAUGAAAAUGAAGUAUGUGAUAAGUUCCAAAUGAACUGUUUAGCAGAGUCCUGUUGGACUUAUCUUUCCAUUGUAAGGAAAAAAGAUUGUAGAGCAAGAGAAUGGGAUAUGGAGGGGAACAUCAGAAAUGGAGUGAUUAGCGUAAUUGCUUUUCUUUCAACCACCAGCAGCUCUUACAA